UGGCUCAUCCCUAUUUCAUUGUUUGGUUGGCUGUAAUGGGCUAUUACAGCCCUAUUCCAUACAGCCUUAUUUAGGACAAAACUGUCGUUUACAAUUUAGCACUCCCCCACGGAAUACCAAUUCAGCAUGAAAAAUUUAGGUCAGAGUUCAACUUUAUCCUUCCAUUUCUUUCUCAGGUCUAGACCUUUCUUCAUCCAUUUCUUUCUCACCUUUGGAGCUUUCUUCUUUUUUUCAUUCUUUUCCCCAUUUCCUUCCAACCUCUUCCCAAGUUCCAACGAAGGAUUUUUCAAUUAGGUAUUCUAUCUAAUGACAGCUUAUAGUUGGUGAUUUGUUUGAGUUCCUGUUCCUUUUCUUCUCUUUUGUCUGUGUUUAUUUUUUUCAUCAAUUGACUUUAAGGAAUGUGUAUAUUUGGAUGACAGGAAAGGUCUACCACUGUGGGACUCAUCGGCGAUCCAUUUCUCGACAAAGAAAACUCAUAAACCUCAAAAAUACAAAACCCCCAAACCCAAAAAAAAAGCUUAAGCUUGAAGAAAUUUGGGAAAUUUAAUGGUCGGUGGAUCAAGAUCCAGUAAUAGUUGAUAGUAUUUCAGUUUUUUUUCCUCCUUUUUGAUUGAAGAAAUUUGGGAACUUAAGCUUAUGGUUUACAUUUUUCUUAUUUUCUAUUUUCACUUCAAUCUAAAAAUCGAAACUUUACUUUUAACAAAUGGAGUUUUUGGAUUUCAAAAAACGGAGUUUGCAAUUUUCUUCAUGGUCAGAAUAUUUUAGCUUCUUAAAAAAGGUAUAAUUCUUCGAAGGUUGUGCAGAACUUUUAUGGUUUUGAGCAUGGUUCAGUUUUGAUUUACUGUCUAAGGUAACAUGCUGAAAGUCAAUGAUUUGUUAUUGAUUUUCUACUUUUCUUGGAAGCAAGAAUCGAGAGUUGUUUGAUUGAUUUCUUUUUUAAUUUGGUAUUUUAAGUUAUCAUCCGUUCAACGCCUUUUUUGAAUCCUUAAGUAAUUAUUUGUAUAAAUUCUGACAUAUUAAGAAUGAGCAGUAUGGUAUAGUGUGUGGUCUCUGUGAUUGCUAAUCCUCUCUGGAUGUGCCUUUAUCUCUUUCUGUUCUUGGGUUAACAAUUCUUUUCUUAGUCUGAAACGUAACCUUUUUUUGCAAUCACUAGUUGGAGUUUGGAAUUCAGUAGUACUGAUAGGGCACAUUUCUGGACAGUUUCACUGGUCACCUCUAUUGCCUUCUACAUGAAGGUGAAGGAUCAUGUUAAAGCCUUCACUAUCUUUUUGAAAAUAUUGAAAUAAAAUGUAUUUUUAAGAGGAUGAUAGAACUAAGCAAUGAGUUUGCAGACAUAAAAUUUUCUUUAAGAAGGGAUCAUUAUCCAUAAAGAGUUUCUUUAAUGCAUCUUUUGGAAAUUGCCUUAUUUUUGAAGUAGUCACUAGCAGUUGUUGCUUGUAAAAUCUUUAGAAUUAUAGUUUUCAUCAAGUAUUACAAUAAUAUUCUUAGAUGACCAUACUAUGAGCUAUAACAUCAGCUGAUGGCAGGCUUCAGAAUGUCUUGCUUACCGAUUUCUAGAAAUUUAGUUCCUCAUCAAUCUUGCUAUUCUUGUUUAUUGUUGACAUCUGCACUCUGUUUAAUGUGAUUCACUUUUAGACAUCCAUCCAUUAAGGUUUCUUUUUAUUGAUUUUCUUUAAUGUUGGAUUAUGUAUAUUAUGUAUGUAACCUUAGAAGCAAGAUUUUUAAUAAUGCAAAUGCAAGUUUAUGUGGAAAUUGUGGUACUGAUGAUACUUUAUCAACUGUUGUUCCUGGACCUUCAGUCUUGAUUAUCGAUUUCCACAGUCUUAAGGAUUAUUUUAGUGUAAUUUUCAAUACCUAAAUCUCUUGGAACUUGUCAUUGUUGUGAAUGCUGAUAAAAAAUUUCUGAAAUUUUGUUUUGUUUUUAUCAUUUAUAUGAAGGUAAUAACUAAGAAUAAAUUUGGUAUGAAAUGAAUGUGGUUCUUAUUCUAAAGUGAUAGCUCAAUAGAAUCUUAUGUAUUGAUUAAUAAUAGAUGUUUCUUCAAAGAAUAUAUAACAUUUGAGCUUGGAUUUGGUACAUAAUUUCAUAUACUCACACCAUUUUAAUAAUAAAAUAAUGUAUUUUUUUAUUAUCUUUUCAUAGUUUCAUUUUUGUUUUUAGGGGUUUAGCUAAGUAAAUUAUAUCUGAGAAAUGGCUGAUUCCUUAACUUAUUUUUUGGGCAAGGGCUGUGAGUUCCUUGAUCUUGGAAUAAUAAUUAGCAUAUAAUAUCAGCUCCAUCUCUUUCAAUGGCAAUAAAACUUCAUUUGUUUUUCUUUAUAUGUCUGUGUUUCUAGUUUUGCUGGAUUUGCCAUGUCAAACAGUUUUUAUUUUUCUUUUUGUGUGUGUGUAUGUGUAUGUAUUCUCUUUAGCUUUGAAGGAUGGACCUAAUAAUUGUACAAAGGGUCAAUCUAAACUCUAUUACUGCUGAUUUUUUUGUUAGAUUAGAGUGAAUUAGAUAUUAAAGAUGGGUUUGCUAAUGAGUCCCCUUAAGAAACUCUUUAAACUUAGUUAAUAUUCUAUUUAUGGUCAUAACAUUAUACUGAAUGUAGUAAUUGAUAACUUAUCAUUUUUAGUUGGAACCAUUAUGUGUUAAAUGCGUAGUGGUAUAUUAUUAUUUCAACAAGGGGCAUGUAGUUUAAUAAGGUUGUGUUUUCUUUGACAGAAUUGACUUCAAGAUAAGGACCAUAGAGCUUGAUAGAAAAAUGAUCAAGUUGCAAAAUUUGUUGGGCAAGAGAGGUUUCGUACAAUAAUUAUUGGGUAUUGUUUUGCAUAAAUCUGUUAUUUGCAUAAUUAUUGGGAGGAAUAAUGCAAUUUUUUAAAUAUAAACUAUCAAAUAAUAUUGCUAGCAAAAAUAGUUUGAAAGAAAAUUGAUAAGCAAGAUCUUUGGCAUUAUAUAAAAGAUAUUUCAUAUAUAAAGGCCAAGGGCAAAUAUAAAACAAAUUGCAAUUUGCACCUUAAAAGAAAGGGAAAGAACUAUUUUGGCAUAUAUGCCUUCAUAUCACUUACUCAUGCUGAGUUUUCUAUACAUAUCAAUCUUUUGGUUUUUCCUCAAUUAACAUUCCUACAUAAUCGGUUAGUAUUUGAUAUACUAAUAAUAUGUUUUUUUUAUUAUUCCACUAACAAAUUUUAAAAAUUGUCACACAUCUCCUUUUUUAUUAUUUUAUUAUACUUUUUUAAGACACUUGUUAAUCUCUUGACCCUACUUAAUGAAAUUUAAAAACUCCUAUAAAUAAAAUGAAA
rnacentral:lncRNA from 1 species